CAGCUACUCUACAGCUCAGUAUUUUGGCUCCUGUUGUAUCACUAAGCAUGAAACCAAUUGACGUUCUGGGCUAUGCCAUCAGGAAUGAUUUUGCUCCAAAUGUAGCAAUAGCACUUCGAAUACUGC